rnacentral:rRNA from 2 species
CUGGCGGCGUGCCUAAUACAUGCAAGUCGAACGAGUUCUCGUUGAUGAUCGGUGCUUGCACCGAGAUUCAACAUGGAACGAGUGGCGGACGGGUGAGUAACACGUGGGUAACCUGCCCUUAAGUGGGGGAUAACAUUUGGAAACAGAUGCUAAUACCGCAUAGAUCCAAGAACCGCAUGGUUCUUGGCUGAAAGAUGGCGUAAGCUAUCGCUUUUGGAUGGACCCGCGGCGUAUUAGCUAGUUGGUGAGGUAAUGGCUCACCAAGGCGAUGAUACGUAGCCGAACUGAGAGGUUGAUCGGCCACAUUGGGACUGAGACACGGCCCAAACUCCUACGGGAGGCAGCAGUAGGGAAUCUUCCACAAUGGACGCAAGUCUGAUGGAGCAACGCCGCGUGAGUGAAGAAGGCUUUCGGGUCGUAAAACUCUGUUGUUGGAGAAGAAUGGUCGGCAGAGUAACUGUUGUCGGCGUGACGGUAUCCAACCAGAAAGCCACGGCUAACUACGUGCCAGCAGCCGCGGUAAUACGUAGGUGGCAAGCGUUAUCCGGAUU